rnacentral:rRNA from 1 species
GACGAACGCUGGCGGCGUGCUUAACACAUGCAAGUCGAACGGUAAGGCCCUUCGGGGUACACGAGUGGCGAACGGGUGAGUAACACGUGGGUGAUCUGCCCUGCACUUCGGGAUAAGCCUGGGAAACUGGGUCUAAUACCGGAUAGGACCACUGCCUGCAUGGGUGGGGGUGGAAAGCUUUUGCGGUGUGGGAUGGGCCCGCGGCCUAUCAGCUUGUUGGUGGGGUAAUGGCCUACCAAGGCGACGACGGGUAGCCGGCCUGAGAGGGUGACCGGUCACACUGGGACUGAGAUACGGCCCAGACUCCUACGGGAGGCAGCAGUGGGGAAUAUUGCACAAUGGGCGCAAGCCUGAUGCAGCGACGCCGCGUGAGGGAUGACGGCCUUCGGGUUGUAACCUCUCUCAGCUAUGACGAAGCGCAAGUGACGGUAGUAGCAGAAGAAGGACCGGCCAACUACGUGCCAGCAGCCGCCGUAA